GGAGGUAUAGCUCAAGUGGUAGAGCCCCAGCUUAGCAAGCUUAAGGCCCUGAGUUCAAAUCUCUGUUGCCUCCC
rnacentral:tRNA from 1 species